UUAUGGCUCAGGAUGAACGCUGGCGGCGUGCCUAACACAUGCAAGUCGAGCGAUCUCUUGGAAGAGAGCGGCGGACGGGUGAGUAACGCGUGGGUAACCUGCCCUGUACACACGGAUAACAUACCGAAAGGUAUGCUAAUACGGGAUAACAUACUUUUAUCGCAUGGUAGAAGUAUCAAAGCUCCGGCGGUACAGGAUGGACCCGCGUCUGAUUAGCUAGUUGGUAAGGUAACGGCUUCCAAGGCGACGAUCAGUAGCCGACCUGAGAGGGUGAUCGGCCACAUUGGAACUGAGACACGGUCCAAACUCCUACGGGAGGCAGCAGUGGGGAAUAUUGCACAAUGGGCGAAAGCCUGAUGCAAGCAACGCCGCGUGAGCGAUGAAGGCCUUCGGGUCGUAAAGCUCUGUCCUCAAGGAAGAUAAUGACGGUACUUGAGGAGGAAGCCCCGGCUAACUACGUGCCAGCAGCGGC
rnacentral:rRNA from 1 species